AACGAACGCUGGCGGCAUGCCUAACACAUGCAAGUCGAACGAGACCUUCGGGUCUAGUGGCGCACGCGUGCGUAACGCGUGGGAACCUGCCCUUAGGUUCGGAAUAACUCUCCGAAAGGGGUGCUAAUACCGGAUAAUGUCUUCUGACACAAGAUUUAUCGCCUUUGGGUGGGCCCGCGAUGGAUUAGCUGGUUGGUAGGGUAAAAGCCUACCAAGGCUAAGCUCCAUAGCUGGUCAGAGAGGAAGGGCAGCCACACUGGGACUGGGACACGGCCCAGACUCCUACGGGAGGGAGCAGUGGGGAAUACAGGAAUAUGGGCUAAAGCCAGAUCCAGCAAUGCCGCGUGAGUGAUUAAGGCCUUAGAGUUGUAAAGCUCGUUUACCCGGGAUGAUAAUGACGGUACCGGGAGAAUAAGCACCGGCUAACUCCGUG
rnacentral:rRNA from 1 species